UACGGGGGGAGCAAGCGUUGUUCGGAUUUACUGGGCGUAAAGGGCGCGUAGGCGGCCAGCACAAGUCAGUUGUGAAAUCUCCGAGCUUAACUCGGAAAGGUCAACUGAUACUGUGCGGCUAGAGUGCGGAAGGGGCAACUGGAAUUCUUGGUGUAGCGGUGAAAUGCGUAGAUAUCAAGAGGAACACCUGCGGCGAAGGCGGGUUGCUGGGCCGACACGUGACGCUGAGGCGCGAAAGCCAGGGGAGCGAACGGG
rnacentral:rRNA from 1 species